rnacentral:pre_miRNA from 1 species
UAUUAGGUUGGUGCAAAAAUAAUUGUGGUUUUUGUCAUUAAAAGUAAUGGCAAAACCACAAUUACUUUUGCACCAACCUAAUA